AUGACUGUAAAAUGUGGCAGUGCGUUGUGGUGACAUUGUGUAAUGAAGAGCUGUAACAGAUUUCUGAGACGGAAGGCAGAGGGGAACCUUUAUGCUCUGACAAUCGAAGAGCUGGAGAGCACGUGGCAGAACUUACACUUCAUGGAGCAAGUCAUGAGGUGUGCGCCCCCACAAACAUGGCCCAGGGCGUGGGUAUGACUUCAGGAGAGUCAACGGCAGUGAUGUGAAUGUGCAGAUAAGGGGUACUGGGUGGCUAAGGUUACAGGGAAGCUAAGGUUUUGUCAGACCAAGAAGGAUGAGUUAGGCCAAUGUCACUAAAGGGCAGUAAUCACAGAGGAAGGGAACACAGCAACUAUGAGACUCAUGGAGAGGACAGGAAACAGUGUUGACAUUCUAAGUUCCAUCCCCACAGUUACCUGGCAACAGCCAGGCAUGCCUGACUCACUAUAAAAGGGGCUGCUUGCCCCCGCCUCACUCUCUUCUCCUGUUCUCACUCUUCCCCUCUGUCCCUUCUCUGCUCCUUCCCCUGCCCCCUUUCCCUCUACGUGCUCGUGGAUGGCCUCUACUCCUCUCCUCUUCUACUCUUCUUCUCUCAUUAAACCUUUCCACAUGGAACCAUGUUGGCCCAUUGUUUUUUGUCUGGAUGUGAGCCAAGACACAGUUCUACCCCAACCAACAGUUCAGCUCACUCAUAUACCCAUGCACCUAUGAACAUACAAUAGAUCCAUGUGAACACACAUGUGCACAUGCCCGGAGUCAUGCAGACACACAAACACACGUGAGCACAAGAGAGUGCUGGCCGAUAAUACAUCUCUGAAACCUUAGUCUUAAAGAACAAAGGAGAAACAUUAAUCCUGCCCUGGCCCACAUUACCUGGGAAGCCUUCAGAGUGGCAGGAGGGCUUGGGUCCUGGCAAUGCCUUUCAAAAUGAAGUUUAAGGACCUCAUCCCCACCCACCUCUGAGUUGCAACAUCUGAGGAAUGAAGAUCUCCUGGAAGUCAAGUCCAAGAGUUCCAGUAAAGCCAGAGGUCACCCAGCAGUGCCUGCAGUUGACUCCAGCCUAGGGCUUCAUCUGGGAGAUUCUCUCCUAGGGAAACCUUUACUCUGCAGAGUAAGCAAUAAAACAGUGUCCCCAGUUCAUUUACAAGGCAUCACUGUCAUUCAGCUGAGGAGGAGGAGUGUGUCAAGAUUUGGAUACUGAAGGUCACGUUCAGAGAGUCGGAUAGAACUAAAUAGAAAAUGGACAUGCAUAUUGGUGAAAAGUGUGGCACAUUGGGAAAGUCUUGCCUCUCUCAACUACCUAUCCCUGUCAGCAUCGUCUACAAAACCCUACCCUUCUUACUUUACUCAGUCCAAUUUCUACCACCUACCCAGCCCUGCCUCCACUACCCACCAAUCCCUGCCUCCAUAACCUACCCAGGCCCACUUCCCUCAUCUACUGUCUGGCCUCCAUAUUUGCCCCUUCUCCUGCCCAGCCCUGCCUUCAAAACUGCCUCUAUUACUUCUCCAGCCCUAUCUCCCUCACUUGCUCAGCCUUUCUUCCAUCACCUGCCCUGCCAUCCCCUUCACCUGACCAGCCCUGAUGUCCUCAUCUACCCAGCCCUGCCCCCAGCACCUCCUCAGCCCCAAUCCAUUUCUGCCCCUAGGAGAUGAUGUCAUAAAGGUGAGGCAGGUACAAGACAGAAUGAGGCCUAUCACUGGACAAGAAGGAGGGAUAGGUGGGAGAAAAGUUGGGGAGAAGAGUAGGAGACUGAAACAGAAAGGACGGGAGACUGGAGGAGACUGCAAGAGAAGCUGAGGAGAGAACAUGGAGGCUGAUGUUAAGAUUCCACUCUGUGUAUUUUCAGGUUGUUAUGAAUGUUCUUAAGGGAAGGAUGUGUACAGGGCUUUGUAUGUUUAAGUGGGCAAUUAUACCUUAUCAAUUG